AGCGAACGCUGGCGGCAUGCCUAACACAUGCAAGUCGAACGAGACCUUCGGGUCUAGUGGCGCACGGGUGCGUAACGCGUGGGAACCUGCCCUUAGGUUCGGAAUAACUCCCCGAAAGGGGUGCUAAUACCGGAUAAUGUCUUCGGACCAAAGAUUUAUCGCCUUUGGAUGGGCCCGCGUUGGAUUAGCUAGUUGGUAGGGUAAAAGCCUACCAAGGCGACGAUCCAUAGCUGGUCUGAGAGGAUGAUCAGCCACACUGGGACUGAGACACGGCCCAGACUCCUACGGGAGGCAGCAGUGGGGAAUAUUGGACAAUGGGCGAAAGCCUGAUUCAGCAAUGCCGCGUGAGUGAUGAAGGCCUUAGGGUUGUAAAGCUCUUUUACCCGGGAUGAUAAUGACAGUACCGGGAGAAUAAGCUCCGGCUAACUCCGUG
rnacentral:rRNA from 1 species